GAUUCCACUCAAAACUUCCAAAAUGACUCCUUCCACAACAUUAUGAUGUUCCCCAAGUUUUGGACCCAAUCCGAUAUCGAUUGUUCCAUAUGAAGUUGGACAAUUCAGGUUCAUAUGAAGUUCGUUCCGAAACGGAGUGGUUAGAGUAUUGCAUAGUUCUAGAGAUUGAAUUUCACCCAAAACCAACCAAAUGACUCCUUCCAGCAUAUCUUGAUGUUCCCCAAGUUUUG
rnacentral:lncRNA from 1 species